CCAAAGAGUGUGAGUUAAUUAAUUGAGCCUCAAAUACUGAGCAUUAAUUUAUUUAAUGAGCAUUGACAUCCUGAGGUGUAAAAGACAUUACAUCUUGUUCCAUUGCUUCAGCUUGUUAAGCAGCUUUUAGAAAUAGUCAUUUGCUUAAAUACUAAGCCUUUUUUCAGGUUCAUAAAAUUAGUAACAUGGAAUUCACAAGCCUCCUUAAUAUUAGUUUCUUUUGAAAGACAUUACAAUAGUAAUUUAUUGUCACUGGCUUCUCAAAGUUUCAACCCUCUUGGGUCCCUAAAUGUUUCCACCUGGAAGGCUCUUAAACUUAGGUUUACCGUAGCUCUCAUCAAAUAGAAAUGUUUCUCUAACUUGAGUGAUGAUCUGAAACAGAUUUCCAAAGAGUCAGAGGACUUCAUUGUGGAACAAUAUAAACAUCUCCGCCAGAGAGAUGGUUCUGGAGUGACCAAGUCUUCGUGGAGGAUUACAGUGCGACAGCUUGAGAGCAUGAUUCGUCUCUCUGAAGCUAUGGCUCGGAUGCACUGCUGUGAUGAGGUCCAACCUAAACAUGUGAAGGAAGCUUUCCGG
rnacentral:sRNA from 1 species